GGUAUUCACUACUGUAAGUCGCUCUGGAAAAGAGUGUCUGCUAAAUGACUAAAA
rfam:Salmo salar isolate Sally breed double haploid chromosome ssa01, whole genome shotgun sequence.